UCCGGCUCUCCGCAGGGGAAUCUCCACUCACUGCUUCCCCUAAUAUCCUCCCUUUACCACAUCAUGGGGGUUUACAGGAGAUCCCAGAGACUCGCUCGGAAAGGCUGCUAUACCAAACAUUAUUACUUAACUACAAAGAAAGAAAAGACUAUAGUAGUCACUAGACUGACUAUAGUAGUCCGUCCGGCUGCUCUUGCUUAAAUCAUUACUCUUCAUUCUCCCGUGCUCUAGCAAUUGCGCUCCCUAGACCACUACCAUUUAGUUAGGUAGGGACAAUCAAUCCAUAGUUACGGGAAUAACGGAAUGCAUGGGGAUAAAAAAAAUAGAAAAAUGCAGAUUUUCUAUGAAAUCCUUUCUUUCCAUAGAUGUAUCUGGUCUGAGACGGUACAGUACUCUACGAGAGGAAUGCAAUGGGAUGGAUGGUAGAGGGCUGCCUGCGCCCAAAAGCGAUGAUUCACUUGUCCCCUUGUCUAUAGGGACCUUGUGGCAUACAACCGCCACGACUCCUGCGUUAUAGCCGCCCCUUUCUCUCUUUCUUUUGACUGCCUCGUGGACGGACGAAAGAAGGGAAGUUACAGAAGGGGGCAGUGAAGGCUCGCCAAGUAGACAGCAAGCCCCCACCCCGUCAGUCCUGUGUUGCCGUAGCGUGCCCUACUUCAAUAAGGUAUUACCUC
rnacentral:rRNA from 1 species